GCCUGGUUAGCUCAGUUGGUUAGAGCGUGGUGCUAAUAAUGCCAACGUCACAGGUUCAAUCCCUGCUCACUGCA
rnacentral:tRNA from 1 species